rnacentral:rRNA from 1 species
UACGAAGGGGGCUAGCGUUGCUCGGAAUUACUGGGCGUAAAGCGCACGUAGGCGGGUCAUUAAGUCGGGGGUGAAAUCCUGGAGCUCAACUCCAGAACUGCCUUCGAAACUGAUGAUCUUGAGUUCGGGAGAGGUGAGUGGAACUGCGAGUGUAGAGGUGAAAUUCGUAGAUAUUCACAAGAACACCAAUAACAAAAACGACUCACUGACCCAAUACUAACACUAAAGUACGAAAACGUGGAAAACAAAC